ACCAGGAUGCCCGAGUGGUUAAAGGGGUGAGACUUAAGAAUUCUUAACUUAGAGAACCUUAAGCUAAUCUCAUGUCGUAAGACUUCGUGGGUUCGAAACCCACUCCUGGUA